UUUUUUUUUUUUUUAAGAAGAAACUAUCAUGACACUAAAAAUUGCUACAGAUCUGAGAACUGUUUGUUUCUAAAAAGCCCUUUUAUGAUGAUCAAACAAAUCACAAGAUUUAUAGAUCUUUAUCUUAUUUCAGUAUGCAUACAAGGUAUUCAUUAGGAAUGGGAAAGAAUACCAUAUUUACUUGCUUUCCACACACAUCUACUGAAGAGAGAACUUUUUUCCUUUUCAUUCCAAAUAUUAGUAACAGUGAUUAGAAGGCUUGGUAAGAUAGGCUGAAUAACUCUAAGUGUCCCCAUCCAUACAAAUUUUAGAAUAUGACUUCAGGCUUCUGGGUAGUCUUUAGGUCACAAGAUUGUGACUGUGACUCCAGCUAUCACAACUACAUUCCAGGGAACAACAGGGCUUAUAGGUCAGUCCUGCUAGUACCCCACCACCAGAUGCACAAGUUAGGAGUCCCAGACAACACCGCCCAUCCACCUACCAUGGCCUAUACUAAGUAAUUCCUAUCUGCAAGGAAGGUUGUGAAAUGAAAUUUUUCAUUGGGCACAAAAUCAGAUUUCUGUUACUAAAAGAGGUUCUGAAGAAAGGAAAUGGGAUAGGCAACUACCAUUAUCUGCUUUUCUUUUUUAGCAUAUGUUUGCUUAGAUGAACUAUGAGCUCAUAAAAAACUGAGAUUAUGUCAUAUUAAUUUCUGUAAUCUCAGAUCCUAGCACAAUAACAUAGUUUAUUGUUUUUUAAAAAUGUUUAUUAAUUAAAGACAAGAUCAAAGACAAGUAUAACAGAUGACAAAUGGGCAUUAAUUUAUUCCAUUUAUUGACAUUCAUUUGUUUUAUUGUUAUUUCAACUAAUAUUAAUUGAGUUCCCAGUCUGAUCCAAGCUCUGUAUCAGGUAUGGGGUAUACAGUGUAAGUACAAUAUUUAUGUUGGCCUUAUAAAGCAGGUGGAGGGAAGGUUAGGGAAGGAUAGGGAUUGGCUCUAAACGUAUAUAAGCAAUUUCAAGGUAACAUGGUAAGAGAAUGAGAAGUGAUCCUGAGCUAUCAUUUAAGGGUAAUGAAGCUGUAAGUAGUGUGGGUGAUGCACAGAAUGGGAAAGAAGUAGAGAAAAAGAAGGUAAGAUAGGAGGGCUAGGUAAUAAAGAAACUUAAAACUUAUAGUCAUAAAUUCAUAAUUUAUUCCUGCCAGCACACAUACCUGUUUGUUGUGAGAAAAUGUUUGUUUCUCCCUCAGACUUCCUCAUAAAAGGAUUUCCCAACACUUUGUCUUUGAUGGAUCUGACCCACUGAUAAGCUUCUUGGCUAGCCUAAACUGUAGUCAUAACUGUGUUCCAUGGACCUUAUCCAAGCAUGAAGCAACCAUCUUCCCAGCAUCCCAUCUUACAGGAUGAUGUUCCCUGGUGGACCAAUUUGGGAAAUGUUGGUCCAGACACAUAUUUCUCAAACUUGGCAAUAUGACUCCACUGGACACCAUAAAAAAAGAAUUGCGGGGGAUUUCCAGAGAAAGGGACUGAUCUCCCAGAAACUGCGGAUGUGAACCUGGUUUUCUUAGUGUGUUAAUGGCUUGGGUUUCAGUUACAUGAGUCACCAGGGGGAUAUAGGUUUCGCUGGACUAAUGGUGCACCAUUUCAGCAUCUUACUGUCAAGUAAGUUAUCUCUAUGAUGAUUUGACUAGUAAUUAAAACACUGUCUUCUCUCCCCACAAGUAAUGCAAUUCAGUUUAUAACAUAGAUAGCUAGAAAUGUAUCUACAUCAGUUCCUAUUUUCUUUGCCUACCUUAGAGAAAAAGAUAGCCCUAACCAUGAAGCAGAGAUCACAGGAAGAGAGAGACAUUUGAAGAUGGUAUGCUAUUGGCCUUAAAGAAGGAGGAAGAGGCUACAAGCCAGGGAAAGCAGGUAGCAUAGAAGCUAGUAAAAGCAAAGAAAUGGAUUCUCCCCUACAGACUCCAGAUGGGACACAGCCCACACCUUGAUUUUAGAAUUUCUGACUUCCAGAAUUGUAAGAUAACACAUUCUUGGUUUUAGCCACUGAGUUUGUGGUAACUUUUUUAUAGUUAGCAAUGGGAAAGUUUUAACACAUAGUAAUAUAUCUCUAGAUGCUGUUCUCCCCCACCCCCUCAUUCCCACAGCUCUCCACACAAGUCUCUCUCUUGGGAUUCUCUUUUUUCUGAAACUGCCCUCUCAAACUUUUCCUGAAAAUCUAAUCUGACUAUGUCACAAGGCUUGAAGUGCAUGAAUACUCACUGAUUCUAGUUAGGUUACUUUCUGGGAAUAUAAUUAGAAACCAGAAAUAAGGGUUGUUUACAAGUCCUGUCAAGGACAUUUGGUGUGAUCUCAGGAAGGCUUAACAGAGAUGUGAUUAUAGCUAAGAAAGCUUCAAACAAAUUGCACUACACACUGAAGAAAGAAUGCAUUAACCAUGUGGGGUUGAGGUAGAGAAGAGAUUUUUCUGAGUUUAUUCAGGACUGGACAGAGGUAAAUUCACCGACUUUGGCAGCCAUCAGUAAGACACACUCUGGUUUGGAGGUGAGGGUACUUCACCCAGUACCUGGAUCCCAGCAAGUGCUUAUCCUAAAGAGUGGUCAUGGUUAUACCACCAUAGUAAGUUUCAUCCUGAUUUAAAUGCUAGUCACAUGAAAGCUGGUUGUCAUGAGUCAAUCCACUCUGUCCACCUCUGGAGGGAUGAUAAAAUUGAGGUCAAGACCUUGCUGGUGACCAACAGAAACUAUAUUAAGGUUCUUCUACUGCCCCUGCCCCCUCAGAAAGUUAAAGGAUAUGUCCUUUGGUAAGAUCCUGAAUCCCAGUUUAACAAGAGCCACACUCCUGCCAGCUAUCACUCACCUCUGUUUCAAGACCUCCACAAAAGAGGGAUGAUUAUCAACAAAAGCAGCAGCAUCAACAAAAAAGGGAGGAGAGUCCUAAGUAGGAAGGGGAGGUCAAAAUUGGCAAAUGCCACAAAGGGCACGACAAAAUGGGGAUUAAAUUUUUCCAUUAGAUUUGGCAAUUAGGCGGGGUGACUGAUGUUGUUCAGCGGAGUGAAAGGUUGACAGGGGAAUGAGAGCUUAGGAAAUGUUAACAUUAAGGCUGGAAAUGUCCUCUGAGCAGAGGAUCCAUGCUCUACAGAAUCACCUUAACUAAAACUCCCUCAGGUUUUGCAUUUGAAUCAUUAGAGAACUCUUCUUGCCCUCGAAUCCUCCAAAAACGUUGAUCAGCCAAAUUCGAGUCUUACUGUAUCCUUCUCUCUCCUCAGUUCACCUCCAACUUAAAGGAACUAAUGAGCUGUGCCAUAACUAAAGGUCAAAACACAAGAGGAAGAAACAAAAAGGCCUACAAACACAAACCCAAAACAAAACAAAUCAGGCCCUCAGUAAGAUGAGCUGUAACAAGUUGUACUUCAAAUUUAAUACCCUUGUUUUGAUCUAAAAAAUAAAAAAAUAAAAAAAAAAAUAAAAAAAAAG
rnacentral:lncRNA from 1 species